AUGACACGAGACAGGUGGUCGGCUCUGUGGCUGGCUCGACGCAAACCCAACGCUUUUCUCCCCCAAUGCUCGUCGACAAAGUCGGAGCUGAUUGGUCGCCGGCACGUGUGGGUGACUGUUUGGCAUCAACCGCCGCAAACCUUGACGCUUGUUUGCGGUGAGGGCUUCUUUGGUGGUCGUCGAUGGUGGAGUUGGAGUCACCCUCAGGGAGGGGUGAUGACGGUGAUGUUGAGCUGCAACCUCGACAACGCUUUUCUCCUCGGUGACGUGUGUAUGUUCUUGUGCGAGUUGCCGGGUCGCCUCGUGUGGCUUGUUUUUGUGGGCGUGAUAUGUGACGGUUUAAAUCCUUUUUUGUUAAUUAAGCAGGUAAUUCUCUUUGACCUUUUUAAUGAAUCGGACCUAAGGACCGCGUUAAAAAAACAUGCUCCUUUUCUUCUUAUUAUCUUGGAAAAAAAUAUCACUCUCUCACCGCACGGUCACGACACAAGCCUUCACUCUCUCCCUGCAAGGCAGCGGUGCUGCCAUCUCUCCUUAUCUCCCCGCCACGGCGUGGCCGCCGCCAUAUCUCCCCUCAUGGCUACUCCCAGCUGCCUCCCCUCCAUGGCGUGUCAAUCAACCCACACCCUUCUCUCACCGCCGCCUCCCAUCCCCCAUGGCGUCGCUCAUCCCAUCCACUCCCCGCCACGGCGUUGCCAACACAUCUGGCACGGCGAGCAGCGAGAUCCGACCGGGAGGUGGAGAAGGCCUCGUUGUUAUCCGUUCGCAGAAGUCCACGUAGCUGGCCUGUCCGGAUUUGGGCAAGAUGACCUCAGGCACGAGGUGUGGCUCGACAAGUUGGAGGGAUGGCCCCCUGGUUCUCAGGCCCGGUCUUCUAGUUCAGCCGAGACGCACCGUCCAUCUCCAUAG
rnacentral:rRNA from 1 species